rnacentral:lncRNA from 10 species
CCAGGUCCCCCUGCUUCUGGUAGGCAGCUGCAGAAGGUGAAGAUGCAGCACUGAGGAGGCAGGAGGAGGGCUGACCACCAGCUCCCGGCAUGUCCCCAGCACCAAGUGGCCCAGAGAGAGCCCAGGAUGCGCACGCAGGUGGAUGCUCCGCGUGCUGCCCUAGCGGGUGCCUCAGGACCCUUUGACAUUUCAGUACCAGAAAUCAAAUGUCGCUUCAGAAGCCCGGCCCUCCAAAGAUGUCACAAUCCAACCUCCCACACGCACAGAUAGGUCUGGAAACUUGAAUCUCUGGAAUAUGCAAAAUGCCCCCUUCACCACCAAGAAAGGACCAUCCUGGUCCCUGAUCCCCGGGGGCACAACACUGCUGUGUGACAGGGGCAUGACAGCUCCCAUGAAGGAGUCCAGAACCGAGACCUGUGGAGAGAACAUGAGAUGCCCAAGGUCACGAGACGCCAAGAGAUGUGGCCUGGUCCUCCCAGGGCCCAGUGCUGUGUUGAGAGACCUGUGACAAAUGGCUGUAAUUUUUAUAACUUCAUGAAGACUGGGUAAAGGCAGCAUCCUCGAUCUACGCAGUAGGGGACUGGUCCUCCCUCCAGCCCAUCGUGAACAUCGGCAUGAACACACACACACACACAUUCUCUCUCACACUCACACACACAUACGCACACAACACACGCUCACACACUCAAACACAUACACACACUCAGACACACAUGCACACUCACAUUCAUACGUGUACUCAUACAUACACACACUCACACACUCGUACACAUUCAUAUACACACACACACUCAAACACACAGUCUCACACAUGCACUAACACGUACACUCAAACAUCACAUACUCACAUUCACACACAUACUUGAACAUACACACACUCACAUUCAUACACCUACACAUACACACACACGCAUAUACACACUCAAACACAUGCACUCAUAUACACAGUCACACGCCACACAUACACACUCUCAUCCACACUCUCACAACCACUCACAGUCACUCAAGCACACACACACAUGCACACACACACACACACAGCUACCUUGGCAAGAACAAAUGCUACUGUGUGGUGAAGGAAAGAGAAUGACAUUUGCUUUCAGACUCAUCUGGAUUCCAAACCUGGGGAAGCCCUGGCCCAGGACUGUCAAGAAAGGUGUGGGCAACACAGAACCUGGGAGAAGGGGGCUCUGGUCUGCAUAGCUGUCACUCCAUGGGGGUGCAUUUACCCUGCACGUUUGCAACAGUUGCCCAUGUGCCUUCAGUGUUCCACUCUGGGAGGGGGCUGGCAAUGAACCGUAGGUCAGAUGUGGUAUGUUCCCUCACCACAGACUCAGAUAAUAACGUAAUCUUAGAAGUGGUGAGGGUUAUACAGAUAAAUGGAGAAAGCAUUGCAGGAACCUAGGCAAAGGAACAUUGCAGUGCAUUCCAGGGUGAGAUCAGCCAAAGCCCCAGAGAGGCUCUCACCAUUGAGCUGGACCCUGAAGGAUGAGUACAUGUCUUGCUAAAAGACAAGAAGGAGAAAACACAAGUAGAGAAGAACACAAAAAAGGCAUAAAAGUGUAAAAGUGCACGGAGUGAGUGAGUGCGCCUGUACCCAGACUUAAACUUUAGGAAGCUUACAUUGGCACAGUGUGGAGACAGAUUGGAAGAACACACACUGAAAGAAGGUAAAUGAGAUGAGGGGGCUGUUGAGAAAGGUUAAGCCCUGUUCCAAAGAAAUUAAAGGAUGAGCUUAAGAGUUAGUUACUUAUGAAGUAGACUCACAGUUCUUGGUGGCCAAUUGGCCAUAGCAUUGAGUGAAGGGAAGGAGUUGCAGAUUAAACUCUAUCAUCAUUGCCAUCACCAAUAUCACCAUCACCACCAUUAUCAUCAACCUUGUCAUCACCAUUAUUGUCAUCAUCAUCACCAUCAUCAUCAUCAUCAGUACUGUCAUUAUCAUCAUCACUGUUACCAUCAUUGUCAUCACCAUCAUCAUCACCAGUAUUGUCAUUGUCAUCAUCACUGUUACCAUCAUUGUCAUCACCAUCAUCAUCACCAUCAUUGUCAUCACCAUCAUCAUCAUCAUUGCCAUCAUCAUCACCAUCAUCAUCACCAUCAUUGUCAUCACCAUCAUCAUUAUCACCAUCAUCAUCAUUGCCAUCAUCAUCACCAUCAUCAUCACCAUCAUUGUCAUCACCAUCAUCAUCACCAUCAUCAUCAUUGCCAUCAUCAUCACCAUCAUAAUCAUCAUCGUCAUUCCUGUUAACAUUCACUGGAUUAUGAAUCAGGCACUUUUAGAGGGAUUGUUUUGGGAGGAAUUCUCAGAUCAAUAAGAGAUUCUGCAAGCCUUAAAAACCACCCAGUUUCUUAUCUAACAGUCUUUCCUAAACUUCCUUUCCUAGAUAAACUUUUUUCUGUUCCAGAACCAAGUGUGUUUCUGCUUGGUCUUCUUUAUGGUCCUCUUGAGGGGUACAGUUAUGUCAAUAAAUUUUGCAUCUCCCAGGCUGGAUACAACAGCCAACUGCCCAGUCAACUUCCCAGCUCUGGGGCCUGUUCCACGGCUGUGAUCCAACAAUUUGAGGGGCAGCUGGAUUCUAGGCACUUGCUACUUCUUUCUUAAUGCCUCCACGACAGUCCAAUGCUCCUACAAGCUCCAUGAGACAGAACUAUAUCUUUUUUAUUCACCGAUGUAUACUCAAAGUGGUAAGCACAUAGUGGACUUUCAGCAA